rnacentral:rRNA from 1 species
UUUGACCUCAGAUCAAGCAAGACUACCCGCUGAAUUUAAGCAUAUUAAUAAGCGGAGGAAAAGAAACUAACAAGGAUUCCCUCAGUAACGGCGAGUGAAGUGGGAAUGGCUCAAGCUUGAAAUCCCUGUUGCUUGCAACAGCGAAUUGUAGUCUCGAGAAGCGUUUUCCCGGCGGAUCUACCCUGCCUAAGUUGCUUGGAACAGCACAUCAGAGAGGGUGACAAUCCCGUUUGUGGCAGGG